UACGGGAGGCAGCAGUGGGGAAUUUUGGACAAUGGGCGAAAGCCUGAUCCAGCAAUGCCGCGUGCAGGAUGAAGGCCCUCGGGUUGUAAACUGCUUUUGUACGGAACGAAAAGCCUGGGGCUAAUAUCCCCGGGUCAUGACGGUACCGUAAGAAUAAGCACCGGCUAACUACGUGCCAGCAGCCGCGGUAAUACGUAGGGUGCAAGCGUUAAUCGGAAUUACUGGGCGUAAAGCGUGCGCAGGCGGUUUUGUAAGACAGUGGUGAAAUCCCCGGGCUCAACCUGGGAACUGCCAUUGUGACUGCAAGGCUAGAGUGCGGCAGAGGGGGAUGGAAUUCCGCGUGUAGCAGUGAAAUGCGUAGAUAUGCGGAGGAACACCGAUGGCGAAGGCAAUCCCCUGGGCCUGCACUGACGCUCAUGCACGAAAGCGUGGGGAGCAAACAGGAUUAGAUACCCUGGUAGUCCACGCCCUAAACGAUGUCAACUGGUUGUUGGGUCUUAACUGACUCAGUAACGAAGCUAACGCGUGAAGUGACCGCCU
rnacentral:rRNA from 1 species